UUUGGCUUCUCAUUUGCUCAGUACUUUCAACCGCAUUCCAAGCGAUGAAACGCCUCUCAGAAGGUGAGUCAGUGAAUGCAAAAGUGGAACAGUCUCUCUGAAGCAAUCGUUUCGAAAGCGUUACAAGAAAUCAGUGUUCCUUCUCCAAUCUUCUUAAUUUAUGCAUACCCUUUUCUCUCUCUCCAUACCCUUUCUUUCCCUCUCUUUGCAAUCAGUGUCUGCGAAAUCAGUGCUUGGGAAUUCCUUAAAUCAGUAUUUGCGAAAUUGAAACGCUACGCUCAUGGAUUUUCCUGUGUUCAGAGAGGAAGUUCUUAAAGUGACACCAGAUGGCUCGGUGCUCGCUGCUGGUGCUUACGGCGGUGUUGGGUAUAACUCUACAGCUGCACUGUCGUCAUCGAGCUUCCAGAAAGAAGCAGACUCUACUCUCACUGAAGGAAGCUUUGGUUUACUUAAUUUGGCUUUUAUUUUCAUAUUUUAGAUUAGCGAUGAAUUGCAAGGAAUGCGUCAUGUCUGAAAGGAAAGGUGAAAAGAUUCAGAUAGAAAGUUUUUGGAUUUUGCUAAAUGUCAUAGACAUGUGGCAAAGAAGUAGUGGAUAUGAACACAUGGCUUUCAGGUUGUGACCUUAUCUCAAUUAUCCUUAAUCAUUUUGUAUAAAUUUAAUCUUUCAAUCUAUGCAUUUCAUUAGUAUGUGGUAAUAAUUAAUGAAAAUAUGAGUGGUUUUUCUUGCUUCCUCCAUUUUCUCUUUACAUGUUGGAUACAACUUCUUCUGCUACAGCUGUGGGAAGGAUUCCGUGCAUGGACAUAUAUGUGACAAACCUUAGUCCACUUUAGACUUCAUAGGUAUCAUUGGAAGUCCUGUCAUUCAGAAUUAGAUUUUAUUUUGAAUGAAAGAUUUUGCAUUUUGCAAUUAAUUUUGAAUUACUCAAUUGCAUUAGGGUGAUGAGAUUUCAAGUUUUUUUUCGGUAUGAGUUUCCAAUGAAUCUACACAUCUUAUCUCUCAUGUAAAUGAAAAGAAAGAAAGUGUUGUGUGUAAGGAUAAAUUGUAUGCUUUAUAAUAGGGAUUUCAAAAUAAUUACUUGUAGUAGUUUAUUUCAGCUUACUUUCAUGUACUAAUACUAAAUAUUUAAGCACAAACACUUGAGAAUAGGCCGGAAAUAACUUUUGGGAUAAAAACUACUUUUAAUAUAUUCUCUUUGUUAAGUUCAAAUUGAUUGCAUUUGCAGAUCAGGUUCCAAGUUGUUUUCCCAAAAACUCCUUCCCCAUAGGCAUGCUAACCAUUUGCGUGUGUGUGCUUUGGUUUUGUUGUUUGGAUUUUAAUGGAGUCUACCAUCUAUUUUCUAUUCAUUGUAUACUUCUUCCCUGUGCCCCUUUCUUUUCAUGUGUUCCUUUACAUUCCAGGUUUGUGUUUGUAAUUUGGUUCUCAAGUCAAGAAGGAGGAGCUUAAGCAAACAUUUUUGCAGUUUGGAACUGAGUCAGUUCCAGAAGACCUCAGGUUAUGCACAGCUAAUAUGUUUUUUUAAUAUCUCAUACAAUAGUAAAUACAAUCAGAUAUAGCACAAAAAGGGAGAGAAAACUUGCAAGUUUCAAUGUUUCCUCUUGGAUUGCAUAUUCUAAAGAGGUGGUUUGUUAGUUUUCUUAAGAUGUCAUUUUAGUCCUUUUAUAAUAAAGGUGCUGCCAAUAUCUUAUAAAGGUGGUUUGAGUUAUUAUCUUUUAAGGUACUGUCUUUAAACACUUUUAGAAUGGAAAACCUUUUUGCUGGCAGAGUGAAUAGAACCCCAGGGUCACAAAUUUUUAUUCUACUUUUAUAUUCUACUUUUAAAAUAGUGAUUCACUCCUCCACCCAAAGCUGUACUCUGCUAGCAACUUAUCAUUCCCACAAUUUCAUCUUAAUUUCUAACAAAAUAUGUACAUGCUUGAAUUUCCAUUAUCCCCUCCUGGAUCUUUUUUUAACAGACUCUACAGGUGAAUAUUUAACAUUGAGAGGAACGCUCUAUUGAGAACCUUCAGGGGAAGUACAUGGGGAAAAUCAGGGAGCCAUUGAUGCUUAUUCAUGUAGCAUGAAGACGAUAUCUAUUAGGUUCUCCCUUGUAAUGAUGUUGCAGCUUCUGAAUUCUACACACAAUAUCAUUUUCAAUUACAGUGGAGGCUGGGGACAUGGAUGAGCAUGUUAAUAAUUCACAGGAUGCUAGGGAGGAUGUUGAUCUAGACGAACUUUCAUAUGAGCAGCUACUAGCAUUGGGGGAAGUUGUAGGAAUUGAAAGCAUUGGACUUCCAACUGAUACAAUAGCAUAUUUUCCUUCAGUCAAGUACAAGACCGGGAGUGAUCAACAUGGAAGCAAUGAUUCGUGUGUUAUUUGUCGGGUGGGGUGGACUAUGAGGACGGGGAGUCCUUGACAGUUCUUUCCUGCAAACAUCUAUAACAUCUGAGUGCAUUAACAAUUAGUUGAAAAUAAACAAGGUUUGCCCUGUUUGCAGUAAAGACUUCACUUCAAAUUGAAGAUAAUAUGUGCAAGUUGGGAGCUAUUACCCCUCAUUUUAGUAAGCAUUGCUUUGCCGGGGGAAUAGUCAUUAUGCUUCACUGUAUCAAACUUCUGUGUUUUUAUAAUGCAAACUUUUGGAUUCAGCUC